rnacentral:lncRNA from 10 species
AUGAUUCUGAGAAGAGAGAGCUGGCAGCUGGGAGGUGUGCUGUGAAGUGAAGCAGUGGUUCCUUAAGUGUGGUCCCUGGAUGAGAAGUAUCAGCAUCACCUGGGAAAAUUUUGGAACUGCAAUUUGUUGUGUCUGACACCAGACCUAUCAAAUCAGGUUCUCUGGGAGUGCAGCCCUGCAAAUCUGUAUUUCAGCAAGUCCUCCAGGAGACUGAUGCAUCUCAAGUUUGAGAACCACUGGCUUUAGAAGAUUGGAGCAGCACUGUACAUGGAUAAAUUUGCAGCUACUUAAAUGAUUUAUCAAAGGAAUGCUAGAAAACGGUAUUUGGUUUUAUGAAUAGACAAACCCAAUUCUUAACUGCCACAAAUGCCUUCAGGGACGAAAGAGAAAUCUGGCAGAAGAUCCAUCUUGGGCAUGGGAGUCCCAGAGCAUUCCUCCAGGACAUGACUGUGCAGAGGUUUGUCUGCUGACCUUGGAAGCCUUUGCUCAGGAAGUACAGGAACAGUGAGAGUGCAUUAUGCAGGCCAACUGGCACAGUCUGUCCAUGUGUUCACAAUAUGCCUUGAACAUUGUCCCUUUCUCUAUUUAAACCUAAUUGUAUGUCCCCCUGAGAACUAGUUUUGUUUAAAUUAUAGCUGACUGUUCUAGAUCUAUUAAAUAGUGAUAUUAUGUCU